UUUUGUUUUUCUCCGGCGGAAUAAAACUCCUUUUCCCCGAUUCCACAACGUACGACGGCGGUGUUGACCUGAAGCGUCCUCCUCUUCUCAUUUUUCAUCCUGUUCUCCUAAUGGAAGCAAUAAAUGGAUUCACUCGCUUCCAUCUUUGAAAUAAAUGUUCUCCAAUCCUACACAAAACCUUUCGCUGUCUUCCUUCUCUUCGAUCUCCAUUGUAACGUUUUUCUAUUAAAGUGACUUUAUCCCAUUCAAUGCUCAAUCUUGCAAUUGAAGACCCACUACUCUAUCUUUAAUUGGUCUGGUCGCCUUCACCAACAGAUCGUCGGAAGAAUGCUUUGUCACUGGCCUGCUCGGAAUGUCAAAAAAGGAGGCCAACUCAUGGGCAUCGACUUCCUACUUAUUGAUGAGAAGAUCAAAGAUGGUAUGAAGGAUGAUGAGGAAGACUUAGACUGUUUAAGGUUUUUUUCGAUCAUCGACACAAUUUAAGUGAAUACUGAGGAACUUCGUCUUAAAACAAUGGCAGGGGCUAACCAGCCAGCAUACAAAGACAUCUUCAAUUGCGUUUAACGAAGUCUAAGCAGAAUCGUUGAUGUGGUGCAGGUAUCCUUUUGGUGUCUUUGCAAGUGAGGACUAGUGGAGGACUUUGUUUGUUUCCAUGGUGUUUCUUCUACUCUCAUCUGAUUCGACGACGUCCAAGUUAAGACCGGUGAGAUGGUUUGAAGAAUGAAAAAGACUUGGACUUCUUAAGGUUUUGUUUCAAUCAUCAACAAUUGAAUAAAUAUAAGGUCACCUUUCAUCCGAUGGAAAAAAACUCUUCUUGAUCUCCCAUUGGAAGUUGUCCUAGAAUUGUGGACACCACCAUCAUCAACACUCAUGCAGCUAUCAGAGAUGGCUUGAAGCAUGUAGAACACACUCACACACACACACACACACACUCUUCAGUCUCCACUCUUCACCAAAUAGAAUAAAAGUUUAAGAGAGAGCGACUCUCUCCCCCUCUCUCUCUCUUGGUAGUUGAUGAUUUUGAAAAAUGAAGAAGACUCAGAACAGAGGAAUGAUGAUGAUGACCCAAACAACAACAACGACAUCGAUGGUGGAUAUGGUGCAAGUGAGGAUUGGAGGAGGACGUUGUUUGUUUUACUCUCAUCUGAUUUGACGACAAGUAAAGACUGGGGAGGUGGUUCGGAAGAACAACGUUUCAUAAGAAAAAAACUGGUCGGCAUGCGUGCUCACAGGUUAACAACAUGAAACUGUUUCAAUGGUGAUUGAUUAUUUUCGACUCUAUUCAAUAUGUCUUCCUCCUUGUCCACUUCAAAUUCUCCAUCCAGAGGUGUUACUAGCUUCUUCAGAUGGAGAUUUAAGGCUCCCUUUGAUCCGAUGGAAAAAUUCUCUUCUUGAUCUAUCUUUAAACAAUGGUAAUGGCUAACCAGCCAGCAAACAGAGACAUCUUCAAUUGCUUUAACGAAAGAAGUGUCUAAGCAGGUGUUGUUUUCGUGUCUUUGCAGGUGACGAUCAGUGGAGGACUGUGUUUGUUCUACUCUCAUCUGAUUCGACGACCAGGAAUUUCAUCUUUAAACAAUGGCAAGGGAUUACCAACCAGCAUACGGAGACAUCUUCAAUUGCUUUAGCGAAAGAAGUGUCAAAAGCAGGUGUCGUUUUGAUGUCUUGGCAAGUGAGGAUCAGUGGAUGACUUUGUUUGUUUCCAUGGUGUUUCUUCUACUCUCAUCUGAUUUGACGACAAGUAAAGAUUGGGGAGGUUGAUUGGAAGAAUAACGUUUCAUAAGAAAAAAAUUGGUCGGCAUGCGUACUGACAGGUCAACAACAUGAAACUGUUUUUAUGAUGUUGCUAGCUUCUCCUGAUGGAGUUAUAAGAUCAUAGAUGGUUUGAAGAAUGAUGAGGAAGACUCAGACUGUUUAAGGAAUUUCAUCUCUAAACAAUGGGAAGGGAUAACCAGAGACAUAUUCAAUUGCUUUAACAAAGAGAAUCGUCGAUAUGGUGCAGGUGUCGUUUUAGUGUCUUUGCAAGUGAGGAUCAGUUGAGGAGUUUGUUUGAUUCCAUGGUGUUUCUUCUACUCUCAUCUGAUAUGACGACCAAGUAAAGAUCGGGGAGAUGGUUUGGAAGAAUAAUGUUUCAUAACAAAAACUUGGCCGGCGUGCGUGCUCACAGUUUAACACCAUGAAACUGAUUCUAUUGUGAUUGGUGAUCUUUGAUUCGAUACAAUACGUCUUUCUCUUUGUCCACAAGCAGGGGCGGACCAAGAAAAAAUAAAUAGUGGUGGCAGAUUGUCACCGGGUGGUGUCGAACCCUCGCCCUUGGAGAUAUUCUAACGUUUUCUCAAGCCAUUAUGCCACUUAUCUUCUUUUGCUUAGCGUAAAAAUUUGAAGAUUUUUAAUAUUACUGGUGGCAACUGCCACCACAAACCAUAACGUGGGUCCGCCCCUGUCCACAAGUGAAUCUAAUCUCCUUUAUCCCUAAUUUUAUUCUUUGCUACACAACUUUAGAUAAGAGACUGAAUUCUAAUCUCCUUCCACCAUAUCUCCUUUAUCUCUGAUAUGAUACCAGACUUUUAAGACUUUUAGAAAAAAUAAAAGCAUUGACAGCCAUU